UAUUUAACUCAAAUAUUCAAGAAAUACAUUAAUAAUUCAAUUGUUGACUGUCAGGAAGCAGUACUAAAUAAUCCUAAAUUCCUAAAAGUAAAUGCAUGCAUGGAAGAGUUUUCGCAUACCAAAAUAUUGGUAGAGCAUGAGACUGAAAUAAAAUUUACAUUUUUGUAAUCAAUAUGAAACAUAUCAAACUCGGAUGGACCAUAUCUUGCAAUCAAUAAUUCUACCAAACUGCAUAGGCACUCUUUGGUAUUUGAAAUAAGAGAACGCAUGAAUAUUUCUAGUAUUAAUUAAGUUGAGCAUUAUCGUGUUCAUGAAUUAAUUCCCGUACACAAGAACAACAAUUAAAAAAUAAAUAUAUAUCUUUUUAGGUCACACCUUUUAUGAGUCAGUUUCGGUUCAGAUUUUCAGCAGGUGGCUUCGUUCCUGGUUAAAAAUAAAUUGCGAGAUUUGGGGCUACAAUUAUUUCAGAAUUGAGUAAAACCCAAAAUUAUGGCGACCGAACUGGACACGGAGAAACCUUGCGGUCCGAAAAAUCAGGAGCAAUCCAAAGUUAACAAAUCUAGUGAGGAAAUUGGCCUUAUCCCCGUAACAAGUCAACCCCGAACACAACCAGAAAUGAAUCAUGACCAUAUUCCAGUCGCCCCCAUGCGGUCGUUACCAUUAAGUCAUUCGCCCGAAGUGAAGGAGAACGAGUGGCCGUGUUGCUUUUGCUUCGAUCCAAGAAAAGAAAGGAUACAUCGAGAUGUUUCAAGACGACGGGAAAGAAGUCGGAGUAGUAGAAAUCCUUGCCAAAAGUAUGUGGACUGCUGCGAAACGGAUGUAAGUUGUAAGAGCUGCGAUUGUGACUCGGAGUGAACGGAUUGUCAUUAAGUAGAAAAAUUUAUUACGAGAUAUUUUGCUAAAAGUUUUGAUAUUUAAGUUCUACUUUAUCAUACAAAAUAGUUCCGAGAAUAAUACAAGCGUGGUAAAAGUCGUAAGGGUACAUAGAAAGCUUAACAAUUGAG